UACGUAUGGAGCAAGCGUUAUCCGGAUUUACUGGGUGUAAAGGGAGCGUAGACGGCAUGGCAAGUCUGAUGUGAAAGCCCGGGGCUCAACCCCGGAACUGCAUUGGAAACUGUUUUUCUUGAGUACCGGAGAGGUCAUCGGAAUUCCUUGUGUAGCGGUGAAAUGCGUAGAUAUUAGGAGGAACACCGGUGGCGAAGGCGGCUUACUGGACUGUAACUGACACUGAGGCUCGAAAGCGUGGGGAGCAA
rnacentral:rRNA from 1 species